CCUAUGGGUGGCAGCAGUGGGGAAUAUUGGACAAUGGGCGAAAGCCUGAUCCAGCCAUGCCGCGUGUGUGAAGAAGGCCUUCGGGUUGUAAAGCACUUUCAGUGGGGAAGAAAGCCUUGGGGCUAAUACCCUCGAGGAAGGACAUCACCCACAGAAGAAGCACCGGCUAACUCCGUGCCAGCAGCCGCGGUAAUACGGAGGGUGCGAGCGUUAAUCGGAAUUACUGGGCGUAAAGCGCGCGUAGGCGGUCUGAUAAGCCGGUUGUGAAAGCCCCGGGCUCAACCUGGGAACGGCAUCCGGAACUGUCAGGCUAGAGUGCAGGAGAGGAAGGUAGAAUUCCCGGUGUAGCGGUGAAAUGCGUAGAGAUCGGGAGGAAUACCAGUGGCGAAGGCGGCCUUCUGGACUGACACUGACGCUGAGGUGCGAAAGCGUGGGUAGCAAACAGGAUUAGAUACCCUAGUAGUC
rnacentral:rRNA from 1 species